rnacentral:rRNA from 1 species
AGCGAACGCUGGCGGCAGGCCUAACACAAGCAAGUCGAACGAACUCUUCGGAGUUAGUGGCGGACGGGUGAGUAACACGUGGGAACGUGCCUUUUGGUUCGGAAUAACUCAGGGAAACUUGUGCUAAUACCGAAUGUGCCCUUCGGGGGAAAGAUUUAUCGCCAUUAGAGCGGCCCGCGUCUGAUUAGCUAGUUGGUGAGGUAACGGCUCACCAAGGCGACGAUCAGUAGCUGGUCUGAGAGGAUGACCAGCCACACUGGGACUGAGACACGGCCCAGACUCCUACGGGAGGCAGCAGUGGGGAAUCUUGCGCAAUGGGCGAAAGCCUGACGCAGCCAUGCCGCGUGAAUGAUGAAGGUCUUAGGAUUGUAAAAUUCUUUCACCGGGGACGAUAAUGACGGUACCCGGAGAAGAAGCCCCGGCUAACUUCGUG